UUACUGAUCAGGCUUCAAGGAAAAAAAAAUCCCCACGACGAAAAGAAUUGGGUAUAGCUGAAGGAGGAAGCUGAACUGACAACCAGAGAAUGUGGAUCGGAUAUAAGAUCUUAAUCUUCUUCUCUCUGAUGACAGAAAUCUGUGCAGGAACUCAUUAUUUAUCAGGAGGAGAAGUGGAUCCAGGGCUGAGUUUCACUAGAAACCACACCAGUUUUGAAGGUACUCGGCACAAAAGAGCCAUUUUCCAAGGGGAAUACUGUAGGCGCUUUGGCUGCUGUGAAGCCAGAGAUGACACCUGUGUCACUCAGUUCUAUGAGGCCAAUGCAUUGUGCUACUGUGACAGCUUCUGUGAGCGGGACACCUCUGAUUGCUGUCCUGAUUACAAGUCAUUCUGCCGUGAAGGAAAAGAUGGGCCUCCUCUCCAACAGCCUUUAGACCCGGAAGGUUGCUCCAGAGAUAGUCAACAUUAUGAAGAAGGAUCAGUGAUUAAAGAAAACUGCAACUUUUGUACAUGUUCAGGACAACAAUGGAAAUGUUCCCAACAUGUUUGCCUUGUUCUUCCAGAAUUAAUUGAUCACAUCAAUAAAGGAGACUACGGAUGGACAGCACAGAACUACAGCCAAUUCUGGGGAAUGACCUUAGAAGAAGGAUUCAAAUUUCGCCUUGGCACCUUGCCACCUAGUCCCAUGCUUCUGAGCAUGAAUGAAAUGACAGCAUCUUAUCCCAGAGCUGAUCUUCCUGAGGUUUUCAUUGCUUCUUAUAAGUGGCCUGGAUGGACUCAUGGUCCACUGGAUCAAAAGAACUGUGCUGCAUCCUGGGCUUUUUCUACCGCAAGUGUAGCAGCUGACCGAAUUGCAAUUCAGUCCAAGGGUCGAUACACAGCCAACCUCUCCCCUCAGAAUUUGAUCUCCUGUUGUGCAAAGAACCGUCAUGGAUGCAACAGUGGAAGCAUAGAUAGGGCCUGGUGGUUCCUGAGAAAACGUGGACUGGUAUCUCAUGCAUGCUACCCACUUUUCAAGGAACAAAGCACUAACAAUAAUAGCUGUGCUAUGGCCAGCAGAUCAGAUGGGCGGGGGAAACGGCAUGCCACAAGGCCGUGUCCCAACAGCUUCGAGAAAUCCAACAGGAUUUAUCAGUGUUCUCCUCCAUACAGAAUCUCUUCCAAUGAAACUGAAAUCAUGAGAGAAAUCAUACAAAAUGGACCAGUUCAAGCCAUAAUGCAGGUCCAUGAAGAUUUCUUCUAUUAUAAGACAGGAAUAUACAGACAUGUUGUCAGCACAAAUGAAGAACCAGAAAAGUACAGAAAACUUCGGACACAUGCAGUUAAACUCACUGGGAUUGCUGCCAAUUCCUGGGGAAAGUCAUGGGGAGAGAAUGGCUAUUUUAGGAUUCUUCGAGGAGUAAAUGAAUCUGACAUUGAAAAAUUGAUUAUCGCAGCAUGGGGGCAACUGACAAGUUCAGAUGAUCCAUAGCUAUCACAUUUCCAUAAGGUCAUGCAUUUAAGUAACUCAUUAAAUUGAAUUUUAGCAAUCAAAGAUUCUCUGUGCCAGGGGAAGUGUUGUAUUUUUGCUGCAUGCAUAGAGCAUUCCUGUUUUCUUGGUUUACUCCAGGCUUUAUCUGUUCUCUUUAUAUUAUUAAAAUACUAAUAAAAGGAAGAAUGACUGAAUGUC
rnacentral:lncRNA from 1 species